UAGGGAAUCUUCGGCAAUGGACGGAAGUCUGACCGAGCAACGCCGCGUGAGUGAAGAAGGUUUUCGGAUCGUAAAGCUCUGUUGUUAGAGAAGAACGUUGGUAGGAGUGGAAAAUCUACCAAGUGACGGUAACUAACCAGAAAGGGACGGCUAACUACGUGCCAGCAGCCGCGGUAAUACGUAGGUCCCGAGCGUUGUCCGGAUUUAUUGGGCGUAAAGCGAGCGCAGGCGGUUCUUUAAGUCUGAAGUUAAAGGCAGUGGCUUAACCAGUGUACGCUUUGGAAACUGGAGGACUUGAGUGCAGAAGGUGAGAGUGGGAAUCCAUGUGUAGCGGUCGAAUGCGUAGAUAUAUGGAGGAACACCGGUGGCGAAAGCGGCUCUCUGGUCUGUAACUGACGCCGAGGCUCGAAAGCGUGGGGAGCAAACAGG
rnacentral:rRNA from 1 species